rnacentral:rRNA from 1 species
UACGUAGGGACCGAGCGUUGUCCGGAAUCAUUGGGCGUAAAGAGCGUGUAGGCGGCUAUUUAAGCCCUGCGUGAAAUCCUGCGGCUCAACCGCAGACGGUCGUGGGAAACUGGAUGGCUAGAGUGCGGGAGAGGAGAGUGGAAUUCCCGGUGUAGCGGUGAAAUGCGCAGAUAUCGGGAAGAACACCCGUGGCGAAGGCGGCUCUCUGGAACGCAACUGACGCUGAGACGCGAAAGCGUGGGGAGCAAACAGG